GCUGCAUUGGCAGAACGGGAUUGCCGCGGUCUUGAAAACCGCUGGCUCCUUUACGGGAGAGAAGGUUCGACUCCUUCAUGCAGCG
rnacentral:tRNA from 2 species